AUGCCAGACUCCUACGGGAGGCAGCAGUAGGGAAUCUUCCGCAAUGGGCGAAAGCCUGACGGAGCAACGCCGCGUGAUCGAAUGAAGGCCUUCGGGUUGUAAAGAUCUGUUGACAGGGACGAAUAAGCAAUGCGAAUAGUUUUGUGUAUGACGGUACCUGUUUAGAAAGCUCCGGCUAACUACGUGCCAGCAGCCGCGGUAAUACGUAGGGAGCAAGCGUUGUCCGGAAUUACUGGGCGUAAAGGGCGCGUAGGUGGGCGCUUAAGUCAGGUGUGAAAACUCCGGGCUCAACCUGGAGACUGCACUUGAAACUGGGUGUCUUGAGGGCAGGAGGGGAAAGUGGAAUUCCUAGUGUAGCGGUGAAAUGCGUAGAUAUUAGGAAGAACACCAGUGGCGAAGGCGGCUUUCUGGACUGAAACUGACGCUGAGGCACGAAAGCGUGGGGAGCGAACAGGAUUAGAUACCCCUGUAC
rnacentral:rRNA from 1 species